rnacentral:tRNA from 1 species
GGCUGUAGCUCAGUGGUAGAGCGCCCACCUCAUACGUGAGGCACUGGGUUCGAUCCUCAGCACCA